rnacentral:rRNA from 1 species
UACGUAGGUGGCGAGCGUUGUCCGGAUUUACUGGGCGUAAAGGGAGCGUAGGCGGAUUUUUAAGUGAGAUGUGAAAUACUCGGGCUCAACUUGAGUGCUGCAUUUCAAACUGGAAAUCUAGAGUGCAGGAGAGGAGAAUGGAAUUCCUAGUGUAGCGGUGAAAUGCGUAGAGAUUAGGAAGAACACCAGUGGCGAAGGCGAUUCUCUGGACUGUAACUGACGCUGAGGCUCGAAAGCGUGGGGAGCAAACAGG